rnacentral:rRNA from 1 species
AACGGGGUCUAAUACCGGAUACCACUCCUGCCUGCAUGGGCGGGGGUUGAAAGCUCCGGCGGUGAAGGAUGAGCCCGCGGCCUAUCAGCUUGUUGGUGGGGUAAUGGCCCACCAAGGCGACGACGGGUAGCCGGCCUGAGAGGGCGACCGGCCACACUGGGACUGAGACACGGCCCAGACUCCUACGGGAGGCAGCAGUGGGGAAUAUUGCACAAUGGGCGAAAGCCUGAUGCAGCGACGCCGCGUGAGGGAUGACGGCCUUCGGGUUGUAAACCUCUUUCAGCAGGGAAGAAGCGAAAGUGACGGUACCUGCAGAAGAAGCGCCGGCUAACUACGUGCCAGCAGCCGCGGUAAUACGUAGGGCGCAAGCGUUGUCCGGAAUUAUUGGGCGUAAAGAGCUCGUAGGCGGCUUGUCACGUCGGAUGUGAAAGCCCGAGGCUUAACCUCGGGUCUGCAUUCGAUACGGGCUAGCUAGAGUGUGGUAGGGGAGAUCGGAAUUCCUGGUGUAGCGGUGAAAUGCGCAGAUAUCAGGAGGAACACCGGUGGCGAAGGCGGAUCUCUGGGCCAUUACUGACGCUGAGGAGCGAAAGCGUGGGGAGC